rnacentral:pre_miRNA from 1 species
AAAAAGACAAACCCUGGUUUCCGUGUCCAACGUUUGACCGUCCGUUUUAUUUGAAAAAAUUAUGAAAAAAAUUAAAAAGACAAGUCAUGCAUAAAAUAUUAAUUAUGUUUUAUCAUCUAACAACAAUAAAAAUACGAAUUAUAAAAAAUUUUCAUAUAAGACGGACAGUCAAAGUUGGACACGAAAACCUAGGGUUUGCUUUUUU